rnacentral:snoRNA from 1 species
AUAAAAUGAUGAUAACCUCAUGCGCUUCAUUUGAAUGCAGCUGAUGUUUUUCUAGCUUUUACCAGUUGUAGGUGUUUUGCUUACAGGUGGUAGGGUUAGAAAACUAGGCUGUAUACAUGAUACAUGAUUGCAUCUGAUUAU